AGUGAACGCUGGCGGUAGGCCUAACACAUGCAAGUCGAACGGCAGCACAGUAAGAGCUUGCUCUUACGGGUGGCGAGUGGCGGACGGGUGAGGAAUACAUCGGAAUCUACUUUUUCGUGGGGGAUAACGUAGGGAAACUUACGCUAAUACCGCAUACGACCUACGGGUGAAAGCAGGGGAUCUUCGGACCUUGCGCGAUUGAAUGAGCCGAUGUCGGAUUAGCUAGUUGGCGGGGUAAAGGCCCACCAAGGCGACGAUCCGUAGCUGGUCUGAGAGGAUGAUCAGCCACACUGGAACUGAGACACGGUCCAGACUCCUGCGGGAGGCAGCAGUGGGGAAUAUUGGACAAGGGGCGCAAGCCUGAUCCAGCCAUACCGCGUGGGUGAAGAAGGCCUUCGGGUUGUAAAGCGCUUUUGUUGGGAAAGAAAAGCAGUAGGUUAAUACCCCGCUGUUCUGACGGUACCCAAAGAAUAAGCACCGGCUAACUUCGUG
rnacentral:rRNA from 1 species